rnacentral:rRNA from 1 species
CAUGGAUCUGAACUUAGACGGGACUACCCGCUGAACUUAAGCAUAUCAAUAAGCGGAGGA